rnacentral:tRNA from 1 species
GGGCCCGUGGCCAAAACUCCUCUCGAAAACGGAGCAGGUCAGGUCAGGACAUGGCGGCAGCCUCCUAAGCUGUACAUCAGGGGUUCGAAGGAUCGAUGCCUGAAAGUCCCCUCGGGCCCGCCA